rnacentral:rRNA from 1 species
GAUGAACGCUGGCGGCGUGCUUAACACAUGCAAGUCGAACGGGAAACCUUUUAUUGAAGCUUCGGCAGAUUUAGAUUGUUUCUAGUGGCGGACGGGUGAGUAACGCGUGGGUAACCUGCCUUAUACAGGGGGAUAACAGUCAGAAAUGACUGCUAAUACCGCAUAAGCGCACAGAGCUGCAUGGCUCGGUGCGAAAAACUCCGGUGGUAUAAGAUGGACCCGCGUUGGAUUAGCUAGUUGGUGAGGUAACGGCCCACCAAGGCGACGAUCCAUAGCCGGCCUGAGAGGGUGAACGGCCACAUUGGGACUGAGACACGGCCCAGACUCCUACGGGAGGCAGCAGUGGGGAAUAUUGCACAAUGGGGGAAACCCUGAUGCAGCGACGCCGCGUGAAGGAAGAAGUAUCUCGGUAUGUAAACUUCUAUCAGCAGGGAAGAAAAUGACGGUAC